AUUGAACGCUGGCGGCAUGCCUUACACAUGCAAGUCGAACGGCAGCGCGGACUUCGGUCUGGCGGCGAGUGGCGAACGGGUGAGUAAUACAUCGGAACGUACCCUGUUGUGGGGGAUAACUAGUCGAAAGAUUAGCUAAUACCGCAUACGACCUGAGGGUGAAAGUGGGGGACCGGAAACGGCCUCAUGCAGCAGGAGCGGCCGAUGUCUGAUUAGCUAGUUGGUGGGGUAAAGGCCCACCAAGGCGACGAUCAGUAGCUGGUCUGAGAGGACGAUCAGCCACAGUGGGACUGAGACACGGCCCAGACUCCUACGGGAGGCAGCAGUGGGGAAUUUUGGACAAUGGGGGCAACCCUGAUCCAGCAAUGCCGCGUGUGUGAAGAAGGCCUUCGGGUUGUAAAGCACUUUUGUCCGGAAAGAAAUCGCGCUGGUUAAUACCUGGCGUGGAUGACGGUACCGGAAGAAUAAGCACCGGCUAACUACG
rnacentral:rRNA from 1 species